rnacentral:rRNA from 1 species
AGGGGCAAGAACUAAUACAUGCAAGUCGUAACAAGGUAACCUCCACCGGAGCUUGCUCCACCGGAAAAAGAAGAGUGGCGAACGGGUGAGUAACACGUGGGUAACCUGCCCAUCAGAAGGGGAUAACACUUGGAAACAGGUGCUAAUACCGUAUAACAAUCAAAACCGCAUGGUUUUGAUUUGAAAGGCGCUUUCGGGUGUCGCUGAUGGAUGGACCCGCGGUGCAUUAGCUAGUUGGUGAGGUAACGGCUCACCAAGGCCACGAUGCAUAGCCGACCUGAGAGGGUGAUCGGCCACAUUGGGACUGAGACACGGCCCAAACUCCUACGGGAGGCAGCAGUAGGGAAUCUUCGGCAAUGGACGAAAGUCUGACCGAGCAACGCCGCGUGAGUGAAGAAGGUUUUCGGAUCGUAAAACUCUGUUGUUAGAGAAGAACAAGGAUGAGAGUAACUGUUCAUCCCUUGACGGUAUCUAACCAGAAAGCCACGGCUAACUACGUGCCAGCAGCCGCGGUAAUACGUAGGUGGCAAGCGUUGUCCGGAUUUAUUGGGCGUAAAGCGAGCGCAGGCGGUUUCUUAAGUCUGAUGUGAAAGCCCCCGGCUCAACCGGGGAGGGUCAUUGGAAACUGGGAGACUUGAGUGCAGAAGAGGAGAGUGGAAUUCCAUGUGUAGCGGUGAAAUGCGUAGAUAUAUGGAGGAACACCAGUGGCGAAGGCGGCUCUCUGGUCUGUAACUGACGCUGAGGCUCGAAAGCGUGGGGAGCAAACAGGAUUAGAUACCCUGGUAGUCCACGCCGUAAACGAUGAGUGCUAAGUGUUGGAGGGUUUCCGCCCUUCAGUGCUGCAGCUAACGCAUUAAGCACUCCGCCUGGGGAGUACGACCGCAAGGUUGAAACUCAAAGGAAUUGACGGGGGCCCGCACAAGCGGUGGAGCAUGGGGUUUAUUCGAAGCAACGCGAAGAACCUUACCAGGUCUUGACAUCCUUUGACACUCUAGAGAUAGGAGCUUCCCCUUCGGGGCAAAGUGACAGGUGGUGCAUGGUUGUCGUCAGCUCGUGUCGUGAGAUGUGGGUAGUCCCGCAACGAGCGCCACCCUAUUGUAGUGCAUCAUCAGUGGGCACUCUUAGCAGACUGGCGGUGACAACGAGAGUCGAUGACGUCAUCAUCAUGCCUUAUGACUGGCUACCACCGUGCUCAUGGGAAGUACACGGGGUUGCGAGUCGCGAGCUUAGC